rnacentral:rRNA from 1 species
AAUCCAUAGGUUAAUGAGGCGAACCGGGGGAACUGAAACAUCUAAGUACCCCGAGGAAAAGAAAUCAACCGAGAUUCCCCCAGUAGCGGCGAGCGAACGGGGAGGAGCCCAGAGCCUGAAUCAGCAUGUGUGUUAGUGGAAGCGUCUGGAAAGGCGCGCGAUACAGGGUGACAGCCCCGUACACAAAAGCGCAUGUGCUGUGAGCUCGAUGAGUAGGGCGGGACACGUGGUAUCCUGUCUGAAUAUGGGGGGACCAUCCUCCAAGGCUAAAUACUCCUGACUGACCGAUAGUGAACCAGUACCGUGAGGGAAAGGCGAAAAGAACCCCGGCGAGGGGAGUGAAAAAGAACCUGAAACCGUGUACGUACAAGCAGUGGGAGCACAGGUUUACCUGUGUGACUGCGUACCUUUUGUAUAAUGGGUCAGCGACUUAUAUUCUGUAGCAAGGUUAACCGAAUAGGGGAGCCGGAGGGAAACCGAGUCUUAAUUGGGCGUUAAGUUGCAGGGUAUAGACCCGAAACCCGGUGAUCUAGCCAUGGGCAGGUUGAAGGUUGGGUAACACUAACUGGAGGACCGAACCGACUAAUGUUGAAAAAUUAGCGGAUGACCUGUGGCUGGGGGUGAAAGGCCAAUCAAACCGGGAGAUAGCUGGUUCUCCCCGAAAGCUAUUUAGGUAGCGCCUCGUGAAUUCAUCUCCGGGGGUAGAGCACUGUUUCGGCUAGGGGGCCAUCCCGGCUUACCAACCCGAUGCAAACUGCGAAUACCGGAGAAUGUUAUCACGGGAGACACACGGCGGGUGCUAACGUCCGUCGUGAAGAGGGAAACAACCCAGACCGCCAGCUAAGGUCCCAAAGUCAUGGUUAAGUGGGAAACGAUGUGGGAAGGCCCAGACAGCCAGGAUGUUGGCUUAGAAGCAGCCAUCAUUUAAAGAAAGCGUAAUAGCUCACUGGUCGAGUCGGCCUGCGCGGAAGAUGUAACGGGGCUAAACCAUGCACCGAAGCUGCGGCAGCGAACGUAUCACUUAAAGCGAUUCAGCGGGUUACGAUUGACGGAGCGAAGCGACGUCAAAGCGUAUACAAAGUCGAGUCGGUUUAAGGAUACGUUCGUUGGGUAGGGGAGCGUUCUGUAAGCCUGUGAAGGUGUGUCGUGAGGCAUGCUGGAGGUAU